rnacentral:tRNA from 1 species
AUGCAGGCGUGCGUGUCGCGGGGCAUGUCCCGGGAGGGAAUCCUCCCCGGGGGCCUGCGCGGCAGCGGCGGGAGCGGCCGGAGGCUGGGGCUGCGCGGUGGGGGCCUGGGCCGGAGGGGCGUACGCGGCCGGGGGCUGGGGCUGCGCGGGUGCGGCGUACGCGGGCUGCGUCUGUUGCGGCGUACCCGUCGGCGCUCCUCCCCGUACCGCCGCCCUUGCCGCAGCCACGCCACCCCCCGGCGCGACCGGCAUGUGCGCGUCGGACGUCGGCUCGUAGCCGGUCGGGAUUCCGGCGGGCGGCGUGCCCGUCACGAAGCUUGUGCCGCGUUCGAUGCGGUCCAGGCGGGCCAGGAGGGAGCGUUCGUCGCUGUACGCGGCGGGGAGGAGUACGCGCGCGCAGAUCAGUUCCAGCUGGAGGCGCGGGGACGUCGCGCCGCGCAUCUCCGUCAAGCCCUCGUUGACCAGGUCGGCCGCGCGGCUGAGCUCGGCCGCGCCGAAGACGCCGGCCUGCGCCUGCAUGCGUUCGACGACGUCGGCGGGGGCGUCGAUGAGGCCCUUCUCCGCCGCGUCCGGCACGGCCGCGAGGAUGACGAGGUCGCGCAGGCGCUCCAGGAGGUCGGCGACGAAGCGGCGCGGGUCGUUGCCGCCCUCGAUGACGUGGUCGACGACCUCGAAGGCCGCCGCGCCGUCGCCCGUGGCGAAGGACUCGACGACCGAGUCGAGCAGCGAGCCGUCCGUGUACCCCAGGAGGGACGUCGCCAUGCCGUACGUCACGCCCUCGGCCGUCGCGCCCGCGAGGAGCUGGUCCAUGACGGACAUCGAGUCACGUACGGAGCCCGCGCCCGCGCGCACGACGAGCGGCAGGACGCCGUCCUCGACCGGGAUGUCCUCCUGUCGGCACACCUGCCCGAGGUAGUCGCGCAGCGUGCUCGGCGGGACGAGGCGGAAGGGGUAGUGGUGCGUGCGCGAGCGGAUCGUGCCGAUGACCUUCUCGGGCUCCGUCGUCGCGAAGAUGAACUUGAGGUGCUCCGGGGGCUCCUCGACGACCUUCAGCAGCGCGUUGAACCCCGCCGACGUGACCAUGUGGGCCUCGUCGAUGAUGUAGAUCUUGUAGCGGCUGCGCGCGGGGCCGAAGAACGCCUUCUCGCGCAGGUCACGGGCGUCGUCCACGCCUCCGUGCGACGCGGCGUCGAUCUCGAUGACGUCGAUCGAGCCCGGGCCGUUGCGCGCGAGGUCCUUGCACGACUCGCACUCCCCGCACGGGGUGGGCGUCGGCCCCUCCUCGCAGUUCAGGCACCGCGCCAGGAUCCGCGCGCUCGUCGUCUUCCCGCAGCCGCGGGGACCACUGAACAGGUACGCGUGAUUGACCCGGUUGUUGCGCAGCGCCUGCUGCAACGGGUCUGUCACAUGCUCCUGCCCGAUGACCUCGGCGAACGACUCCGGGCGAUAACGGCGGUACAGCGCGAGAGACGACACGCCUACGAGGUUAUAGGCGCCCACUGA